rnacentral:rRNA from 1 species
AUUGAACGCUGGCGGCGUGCCUAACACAUGCAAGUCGAGCGGUAACAGGUGUAGCAAUACAUGCUGACGAGCGGCGGACGGGUGAGUAACGCUUGGGAAUCUGCCUAUUAGUGGGGGACGAACCCGGGGAAACGUCGGGCGUAAUACCGCAUACGCUCUACGGAGGAAAGACCGGGGACCGGCAAGGCCUGGCGCUAAUAGAUGAGCCCAACGUCGGA